CCUACGGGGUGCUGCAGUGGGGAAUAUUGGACAAUGGGCGAAAGCCUGAUCCAGCCAUGCCGCGUGUGUGAAGAAGGCCUUCGGGUUGUAAAGCACUUUCAGUGGGGAAGAAAGCCUUGGGGCUAAUACCCUCGAGGAAGGACAUCACCCACAGAAGAAGCACCGGCUAACUCCGUGCCAGCAGCCGCGGUAAUACGGAGGGUGCGAGCGUUAAUCGGAAUUACUGGGCGUAAAGCGCGCGUAGGCGGUCUGAUAAGCCGGUUGUGAAAGCCCCGGGCUCAACCUGGGAACGGCAUCCGGAACUGUCAGGCUAGAGUGCAGGAGAGGAAGGUAGAAUUCCCGGUGUAGCGGUGAAAUGCGGAGAGAUCGGGAGGAAUACCAGUGGCGAAGGCGGCCUUCUGGACUGACACUGACGCUGAGGUGCGAAAGCGUGGGUAGCAAACAGGAUUAGAUACCCCUGGUAGUC
rnacentral:rRNA from 1 species